UGAAGAAGCGGGGAUAUUUAUAUAAGACGAGAAGACCCCAUGGAGCUUCAAACCCAAUUACACCCCCCCCCCCCCC
rnacentral:rRNA from 1 species